GGAACUGAACAUUUUCAAGGGGAAUCUGUUACAGUUGACACCAUAGAAAGCAUACUGGGUGAGAACGCUUGCUUAGAGCACAUCUCGAAAUGCCAGCGGUGUAAAGUCAAUUACGUUAACGCACUGUUUCUGCCAUGUACGCAUCACCGGAUAUGCAUGGACUGCGCGAGGAAAUAUGACGUCACAAUGUGUCCUUUUUGUGACCGACAUAUCAGUAAAGUUGUUAAAACACUGACAGUGACUUAUAUAUUAAAGUAGGAAAUAUAUACAAUACGGUUUCUGAAAUGAAUAUAUGAAAUGUUGUUUAUUAUUGAAUGCAAUUAAAUCAACUGAACGAACACCAGAGAGGAAUUCAACGCUCUAGUGCACUUAAUGUCAAACUUAAAGUAAUUAAAGAUUAACGACCGUAUCAACACGAUACCUGAUGCUAUCGUAAGACAAACAAACUUCCAUUGGUCACUUUAAAACAAACCUUUGCCAAACGAACCUGGCCCAUUAUUUAAAUUGACAUUGAUUUCACAUGAGCAAACAUUCAUGCACAAAUGCAAUAAAACGUGGAGAUGUUGAAAAAACCACGUGACUAAUUGGUCAAGUGUACGGCAAAAAUUGUAAAUAAGAGGUCUCGAUUUAGGUAGAGUUUAUGAAGAUAACUUUCUAAAUAUAGAGAAAGUAUUUUGUUAUAUAAUGACCAAUUACCCCGCAAUAAAGAGCACUUUUCACGGUUAUGUAGAACUUUCCCCAAAUUCCUACACCUUUUUUUCUAAAAUCUUGACCAACUGAGUUGAAAAGUUUGGCAAGGUAUACGCUCUUUACAAAUAUAUUAAUAAAAUUGGGUUAAGAAAGAACCCAAUACUACUAUCAUAUUUUCAACAAGUUUUAUGCAUUUUGAAGGUUUCAGAGGUUAUGGGUUUAUUUCUAAUAGUUAUUUCAAACGAAAAAAUGAGCAAAAACAAAAUUCAUAAAUACAUGGACGUUUAGAUUUGACCAAGUACACGAACCUUUAGUGCAUAUACUUAUUAUUUCACUGACGGGUUCUAAAACAUUUUUAUAAAUAUAUAUUUAUACUAAUGACAUUUCUAAAUACACUUUAUUUUUGUAAACUAUGAACAAAUAUUGUACUGCCAAACGUAAAGCAAAAUAUACCUAUAACAGUUUAGGAAGAACCUCUUUACGCUCCAUAGGUAAAUCAAACUCUUGAAAGGUUUGGUAGUUUUUUAAGAAGUAUGAAAAAUGUAACCAAAUUUAAACAAUGUAGAUAAAACUGAAUUUGUAAACCAUUUUAAGAACAUGUUAAAUAAGGUUCAGCUGAUAGUGCUGAUAUUGAUAGUUUAGAUUGUUUGUUUAAUGUUGAUGAACAAAUUAAAAAAAAAAUAUGUCAAGGCAAAAGAGCCAUAUCUUGCAUACAUUUUUUUAAACUAUAUUGUUGAAAAAGGGGUCUGCCCCGAUUCAUGGGAUUUAUAUAUAUAUGUAUAUAUCUGUGUUUAAAUUUGUAAAAGUGUUGCAAUCAAAUGAUAUAAGUGAGGUUACCAAACUAUGUGUUUCUGUUAAAGAUUGUCUUAAAGUUAGAUCCGCUAUAAGUAAUGUAAGAACUUUAUUUAGACAAAUUUGUUCAUUCAAUGAUUUAAAUAGAUUAUAACAAUAACAUUAGUUACUGAAUUUGUUGUAACGUAUCAUCUUUUGUGUGUGAUUUCUUUUGUAUAUAUUUUUGUUUGUACUUCAUUGUUUGUUUUGUUACUAUGCAUACACGUUGACAUUUAUCAUUAUAAACAGAUGUGUUGAUUGCGAUGUACAUUGCACUAGUCGAAAUAAACUGUCUGUCUAUCUGAUAAACAUAAUCCCUCUAAUUACCAAGGAAUAUUAUAAAAUAUAGGGAACUAAAAUAUUUUGAUACAUUUACUAACAUACGCAUACUAACUAUAAUAGGUUGUUAUAACAUUUCAACCAUUAUCUCUAGAAAAUGUGUUUGUGUACUUCUUCCAUUUAUUGAUUUAUUUGCUUACAUUCUAUAAACAUUCUUUAAUGUGUUAUGCUAUAAAAAUAUUGUAUUGUAAUAUUAUGGCUAAAAUAUUAUCGUUAACAUUACGAAAUCGAAAAGACAAUUGGUGUGAAAGUGAAAAUAAUUUAACGAUGCUCAGUUUGGAUUUAGAGAGAAUAGAAGUAGAGUUGAUUUUAUUUUAUCCUACACUCAGUUAUACAAAAUGUGUUAGUAAACAAAAUGAAGCUUUA